UCCCCACAACGUGGCAUUUCCGCUUUUGAGGUGAAUAUGCUAAGCUAAGUGGUUUCUUGACUCUUCCUCACUGUAGUGACAUGGUCUCUGAUUCCUGGGGGAACCAGAAGAAGCAUCCCCAAGCGCCAUGGCCAUGGCCACAGCAACUCUGCAGCAGGGCCUGCAACACCAGCAGCCACAAAAGCAACAUCUAUUCAAUGCUUAAUGAAUAACUAGAUGAGCUCAACGCAAUGAUUUCAACUCCUGAGAUGGCUGAGAUCUGAAUCCAGAUCUCUGCAGGCUUCAACCUAGGAUUUGCUUAAUCUUCUGAAUGAAAAUUUGACUCCUCAUGCAAACAUUUGACUCUAUAUUCUUUAUGCAAAGACGGGAAAACUCUUUACAGAGUCAGGUCAAGAAAAGUAAUCUUCAGAAGGAAGAUUUAAGAGACACGAC